AAAAAACACAUUUUUGAGUAAAGAGGGCAAGAAUCAGACCGCAGAUCUUGAUGGGAGCUUCGAGUUCGAGGAGAAUGGGUUGUUGAAGAAAGAUGUCUUUAGAGACAGCACAUAGCUGUCGGAUUUCACCUUCGCUGAGGUGAACUUGUUUACCCGAUCCAGGCCUCGUGUUCCGAAACUCAACCAAUCGCCGGAUUAUAUCGUCUAGAACCGCCGGUUCCAUCGCUCUCGUCUGCUCCUGCUCCUGCUCCGGCGCCGGCUUCUCCGCCAUAUCCGAUUAAAACGAGCGGAGAUUUCAAGUGUGAAGCUCUUUGCCUUCGGCGUUGUGGAGCUUGCGAGGAGGAGAGGGAGACAAGAAGAGACGACCGGCUCUGUCAGAUUGAUUUCAUUGGUCAAGAAGAGACGACCCGCUUUGCCUAUUAUAUAAAGCUCCAAGUAAACACCUCUUUCCCAUUGGACUUGUGCGUCAUAUCAAGCAACGAAUCGAGAUUGCUUCUUUGUUGGACCGGUGCGUCACAUCCGGCAACAAAUUGGCUUCGGGAAUAUCAGCAGCCUUCCGCAUCUGCUGUGCGACCCUUCAAUCCACCAUUUCUUUUUUUUGUUGGACUUGUGCGUCAUAUCAAACAACAAUCGAAGCUCGGUAGUAUCAAGAGAUUCUCCGCCCCUCUUGUGUCACCAUUCAAUCCACCAGUUAUCCCUUUUGGCGAGUUCAUAUCCUUAAGUCCGAUUGAGUGAUCCUAGGACGUAUCAAGUGGUAUCAGAACCACUCAACCGGUACUUGUCUGUUCAUUUUUCUCAUCUUUCCAUCUUCUUCAUCAAUCUUCUACCUUUCAUCUUCUUUUCUUUAUUAAAAAAAAAAGUUCUACGGAAAGUCAAAAGAUCAUCCCAUCUGAAGCUAAAGAAAGAUAGAUUUGAGGGCAAAUCUUUUUAAAAGAGGAGGGAAUGAUGCGUCCCGAAUCAGCAGCAAAAACAAAUCAAGAAGUUUUGGCUUUGGGUUUGCGAUUAAUCGAGAUGGGGUUGAAGUAUAUUGCAAAUGUGUUUAUGAACAUGUAUCCGUCCAAAGAAAGAAACAUGUAUCCGCCCAAAGAAAGAAAGGCCCAACAAGAAAUUAUAAGUGGUGGUUGUAUAAUAUAUCAAUCUGACGGCAAUUCAGAAACCGUCGACCAUGUGGAAGCACGAGAUCAGCCGAAGAGUUUGGCGACCACAAUCUUUCAAUUUCGGUCAAGUCAAGACAUUUAUGAUUUUUGGUCAAUUCAAGGUCUUUGGCCAAGUCUUCCUUGUUUUUAUAAGUUGUUAAUUUCUAUGUUUGACUAGUCUUUUGUAUUCCAACUUUUUGUAUGUUUUGCCUAUUAUAUAAAGGCCAUUUGAUCAAUGAAAUAAAAUAAGCUUUGAUUAUUA